UACGUAGGGGGCGAGCGUUGUCCGGAUUUAUUGGGCGUAAAGAGCGUGUAGGCGGCCAGGUAGGUCUGCUGUGAAAACUCGAGGCUCAACCUCGAGACGUCGGCGGAAACCAUCUGGCUAGAGUCCGGAAGAGGAGAGUGGAAUUCCUGGUGUAGCGGUGAAAUGCGCAGAUAUCAGGAAGAACACCAAUUGCGAAGGCAGCUCGCUGGGACGUAACUGACGCUGAGACGCGAAAGCGUGGGGAGCAAACAGG
rnacentral:rRNA from 1 species